AUCCCCCCAUAGCCAUUAUGUUACCAUGUAGUUACAGAUGAUGGAAAUAUAUCAUGUACUACUUCUGAACCAAAAUAUAAGACAUUUUUGUAGGCUAAACUAGCCUACUAAAACGUCUUAUAUUUUGAUACGGAGGGAGUAUAUACUUUCUUAUACCCUAAACAAAAAAUAUGUGGUUCUCUAUGUGUAGGAUCUUGUUCCUUGUGUUCUCCUGUCAUUUGACAAUGAGCAGAUAUUAAUCUACAGAGGCAGUGAAUGGAACUCUAGAUACUCAGCCUCCCACUAUCACUCCAAAAGUUCAAAAGAAUAAUCUGACAGUGUCAACUGCUUUGAGUAACUCAGGAUGGGUGGUUAGAAGAGCUGGAAGGGAAGGCGCAAGAACAUGAUAAGAAGGAUGUUGCACAACAAGAGAAGAUAAAGGAGCUCUAGAUUGUUGUAGAGAAGAUUAUCAGUUUUUACUGGCGGCCGUUAGAAGCUGUAUAGAAGAUGAUGCAUUUUUAUUAGAUUCAAGUGAGAUUAUUCAGAUUUGCAUAAAAAAGCUGUAUAGAAGUUGAUGCAUUUUUAUUAGAUUCAAGUGAGAUUAUUCAGAUUUGCAUAAAAAGUGCCGAGGAUCGUGCAAAGCUAAAUUAUCUUUGUUGUUGCUGCUUA